GACGAACGCUGGCGGCGUGCUUAACACAUGCAAGUCGAACGGCAAGGCACUGCUUUUGUGGGGUGCUCGGGUGGCGAACGGGUGCGUAACACGUGAGUAACCUGCCCUUGACUUUGGGAUAACUUCAGGAAACUGGGCUUACUCCCGUAACGCAUCCCACCUUCGGGGGUGGGGAUGGGAACUUUGAGGCGGUUGGGGAUGAAUGGGCGGCUUUCCAGCUAGUUGGUUGGGUGGGGGAUUACCAAGGAUUGGAAGGGUCCCCGGCCGGGGAGGGUGACCGGCCACAUUGGGACUGAGAUACGGCCCAGACUCCUACGGGAGGCAGCAGUGGGGAAUAUUGCACAAUGGGCGGAAGCCUGAUGCAGCAACGCCGCGUGCGGGAUGACGGCCUUCGGGUUGUAAACCGCUUUCGCCUGUGACGAAGCGGGAGUGACGGUAAUGGGUAAAGAAGCACCGGCUAACUACGUG
rnacentral:rRNA from 1 species